UACGUAGGGUGCAAGCGUUUAAUCGGAAUUACUGGGCGUAAAGCGUGCGCAGGCGGUUUCUGAAGUCCGUUGUGAAAGCCCCGGGCUUAACCUGGGAAUGGCAGUGGAAACUAGGAGACUUGAAUCUGGCAGAGGGGGGUGGAAUGCCACGGUGUAGCAGUGAAAUGCGUAGAGAUGUGGCGGAACACCGAUGGCGAAGGCAGCCCCUGGGUCAAGAUUGACGCUCAUGCACGAAAGCGUGGGGAGCAAACAGG
rnacentral:rRNA from 1 species